rnacentral:rRNA from 1 species
GACGAGGGGUGCGAACGUUAUUCGGAAUGAUUGGGCGUAAAGGGUGCGUAGGCGGCUUGUUAAGUCAACUGUUAAAUUUCUCAGCUUAACUGGGAGUGUGCAGUAGAAACUGGCAGGCUAGAGGGUGGAAGAGAGAAGUGGAAUUCUCGGAGUAGCGGUAAAAUGCGUAGAUCUCGAGAGGAACACCGAUGGCGAAGGCAGCUUCUUAGUCCAUUUCUGACGCUGAGGCACGAAAGCGUGGGGAG